rnacentral:tRNA from 3 species
CUCCGACUACCAGGGCGAAUUGAUGGUGUCGUGCUGGAACCGCGGCCAGACCGCGUUCAACAUUGCGGUCGGCGA